rnacentral:Y_RNA from 1 species
GGUUGGUUAGAGUGCAGUGUUCUUUAUAACUAAUUGAUCACAACCAGUUACAGACUUCUUUGUUCCUUCUCCACUCCCACUGCUUCACUUGACUAGAUUUAA